GCAGUCGCAGGCCCUGGUUUUCAUGGGGGACUUCAACCAUCCUGAUAUUUCCUGGAAGAGCAACACGGCAAGCCAUGCACAAUCCAGCAGGUUCCUGCAGAGCAUCGAGGACAAAUUUUUGAUGCAGAUGGUGGAGGAGCCAACAAAGUACUCAAUCCAUAAAUAACCUGAUCAGUACAGGAUGGAUCUGCAGGGAGCAACACUAAAAACAUGUAAAAUCAUGCCUGAAAUUCUAGUCUCGGUUAAAUCGUAGUCUCUUUUGACCAUGGUGUAAGCAAAAUCCAACAGAAGUUUUGAUGCCCUUCAGGAUCAGGACUUUCUUCAAGAGUAUUCCUUGCGUGUGAGUUAACCAUACGGUUCCUCCUAUAGAUAACUGGGCUUCCUUUAAACAGCAUUCUGUGUGAGGAAGGAGCAAAAGACCUGCUAAAAGAGGAUGUUAAAAGCAUUCAAAUCCUUCACUAUCAACCAUAAACAGAGCGUGGUGCACAGAUUAAAAAGACAGCAGGAAAGAGAGGAGUUAACUAUUUAAAACAACCAUGUUAAGUAAGACCUAAUUAGUGCUAAUCUGUGUUUCUUUUUUGCCCCAGGAGCAGUAAGUGUACACAGAAGAGGAAUUUUGGGGGAAGAAAGGUAGGAGAGGUCAGCCUACUAUUAACUGCGUCUUGUUUAGUUGGGUCACUGCAGUUGACCUCGUUCAAAUCUUUAAUUGACAUCUUGGUUUAAAAUCCAAGAUGGCAACACUAUGUAAGAUUUGUGCUCGCUCAGAGUCAUGCUGUUUUCAUUAGUCUCUCAUUCUUUAUCAGACAUGUAUUUCAUAUGCAGCUGGGCAUUUAGAUUUAGCUGUGUCAUUACCCAUAAGAAGAUGGGGUACGCCCAUUUCCAUUGAAUCUGAGGGGAAAUAGGAUUGUUCAGCAUCCUUGGGAGCAAGGGAAGAAAUCAAAAAGCAGGUGAUUAACUAAAAAAAAAAGCAAGAGUGAAACACCUGAAGUGCUGUGAAGAUGCUUCCCUGGACGAAGGUUUCUGAGAUUAUCCUGAAGUGCGGUAGGGCUUGGUGUUUCUGACCUGAGGCGUGCUGUGCCAGCUGACCCACCUGAGUUUCUGUCCUUCCGUCUUUAGUUUUUUGCUUUUCAACAGAAAGGUCUGACUGUGGUCGGCAAUGAAUCUAUUUGCAGAUCUUGCCAAAAAACCUCUCAGAAAUCCAAGUAUUUCCCUACAGAGGACGAAGUAAGGAGAAGGUAUUUUUGUGUUAAUUUCUCCUGAGGUUGCUCUGAAAUUUAUGGAAGAGGAGAAAACUGAAGUAAUAAGCUUUCCUCUAGGUGCCUCUGGAGGCAAUACUGAUGCAGGCUUAGUUUAAUCACCACGCCUGGGUAAACUAAUAUUCACUAAUCCACUCAAAAUUGUUUUUAAAGGAGGUGCACUUACAGGAUCCUCUCCCUGAAGACAAAGGAGUCUGAGGCACCCUCCACCCAACUGCCAUGAGUGAAGGGGUGCAAACUGGAGCAGGCUGGUAUCUGGAGAUCUCAGAGUCGAUGUCCCUUUUCCUCUCCCUGUCAGGAGAGUUUCCUAAUCCCUGGGAGUUCCCUUUGCAUGGGAAAUGAGGCUCUGCAUGGCUUUGGUUUAUGAACAAUCUGACAGAAUAAGUCAUCGGUAAUUUCAGGCUGAACUUCCCAACUGCACUCAUCUGUGCCCACGGCAGAGCCAGGAGAGGGGGCGGCGUGGUUAUUCACCCCCACAUAGUUAAAGAUGUUGCAGAGCUGCUUCAAGGCAUGUUGGCUACUCGCAGCUUGCAGGGAUUGGGGGGCCAGUUGACAAUGACCCAAGUGCCAUCCUGCAUUGGAUACACCUUCUCCAACUCCUCAUACCUGUUAGGCACCAGCUGUGGUCAUUAUUAUGCCAGAGGACCUCUCCUUUCCCUUUGUAUGUCCUGUCUCCUACAGCGGGAUUGCACCAAAUUUUUAAAAAAGUAAUCUUCUUGGAGGAAUAUUCUCAUAGCCUUUUCUGGAAAGGCAGUAUGUUUUUAAUAUCUGGUUUCCUAAAGAGUUAAGGUUCAUGUAGUCAUGCCAUGUCCGCCCAGCCAUUCCCCUUUCUGCCAAAAGUUUUGAACUGUCUGUCACCUUCAGCUGAAUUUCCCAGAGAGAUAGAAGUUUCAGCAGCUUCAGUCUUUAAGGAUUUUGAAAACCAUUAGCUGAAUAGAGGACUUCAGAGUUUCAUCAAAGUCUGACAUCUGCCAACCACCGAAAGCACCAUUCACAUGGCCCCUGACCAGUCACACCAUGUGUAGUUUCCUGGUGGGAGGGUAGAGGCAGAGAAGGGGCAAAACAUUUUGGUGGGGUCUGGAGGGGGGUGUGAGGGCAUGGGAAGGUAUUGCACAAGAGGGCACAGAGAACACAAGGAACCAGGCUUUGUUAGUCCUGCUGUUGAUGGAAGAUAAAGAAAAAAGACUGUAGAUAGGCUUUGAGGAUUAUCAACAUAUUUAUAUCACGAAGAGUUAUUUUAUAGUGCUGGGAUAUAAUCUUCUGUUGCUCUAGUGUUACUGUCAUCAAACCAGAGUAGGGCCUAGAGCUCCUAGAGGAGGUAGAAGUGGCAGUGUGCUCAGUGCUGUAUGGAUCCUUGCCCAGAGGUCUUUUACUCUGCAGAAACCCAGGGGAUGGAAGCCCCAGCCUGGAGUUCAAAUCUUUACUGACUGAUUUUGAAAUUGUUGUUAAUGCAUUUAUUUACAGAUCUGGAAAGAAUGAAGCACAAUUUUGAGUCUGAGUGUAUCCAAGUGUAUCUUGAGAAGACCUGAGCUGAAAGAAUUGGCCUUUGGAAAAGGAAUUGCUAUGAUCAUGGUGUUUGUCAGGGAUGCUUUUGGGUGAGAAGCUGGCAAAAUGUUGAGGUACUGAACCCUGUGGGGACGGAAUGUUUCUAGUCUGGUUGAAUGGAGAGUCCCAGCUGGGGACCAAACAUAAAGUGGUGCAGCACAGGUGCAAGUGCCAGCUGCUGGGGUGUGACCGGCCACAGGUACCCGGGCACCCAUGGUGCCAGCAACUGGAUCCAGCCUGGGUGUGUAUGUUGGUGUAAGCAAAUAUUGAGCUGGACUAGCUGGCUGGAAGGAUAAGAGGUCAGGGAACUGGGUAUGGAAAUGGCUGUAAGUCUGGGCUGGGUGUACAUGUGUCCUGUGCAUCGGGAAGCUGGAGGUGCUGGCAACCCAAGGGGUCCUGGCCAACUGGGUCUGCUGGGAGGCCUCUGUGUGUUUGUGUAUCUGCACAGGAGGCAACUGGAGGUGGGAGGAUCCAGUGCUAGCUGCUGGGCAGGCUAAGUGUCUGUGGGCAUCUGCUAGAAGGAUCCACACUGUAUUCAUACACGCUUUUUUUUCUUCCCACCACCCACAACAGAUCUUCACCCUGAUCAGGCUGAGAAGGGAACAGGACAAGGCUGUUGCUGCUGCAUGUGUUUGGGUGAAUACUGAGUGUUUCUGUACUGAUCUGUGUGGCUGGCUGUGUGUAUCUAUGUGUGUACAUGGUGUGUACAUACCUGUGUUUGUAUGUGUGCCUACUGGGAAUAUAUUCUCAGCUGUGCUAUGGGUUGGACCUGGGGGAGUGGAGUUGCAAUGGCAGUUCCUCUCUUGAGCUGCCGUAUCUGGGGACCCCUAACUAAACCCUGCUGACCCUGCUGGAGGGUACCCACAGGGUGCUGCAGCUCCUCACCUUUGGAUUUGGGCCAAAAUGGCUGUGUCUUAGUUGUGCAGCAGGAUGGCUCCAGAACAAAACCUGUGUCCCUUGCUCACGCAGAGUGAUGAGCGCAGAGGAAAUAUCCCUCCUGUGUGCCCAAAUCCCUCAUCUGUUUCCUUAACCCUUUCCCUACUCAUUGAUCCAUGUCAUUGCAAUGCAUGUAAGUAGAAUAUAUAGCUACGAUAAGCGUUUUCCUUUACACUUCUGAAAUACAAAACUCACCAAUUGUAUCAAUAAGUAAAAAUAAUCUACUUUUUGUCAGGAAUGAAUUUUUACAAAUGAUAAAGUGCUCUAGAAAUAUGGCUCCAGAUGGAAAUUCUGACCCCUCAUUGUUCCUCAUCUCAAAAGCCUUUCUAAUAUAAACCUACAACAAAGUGCAGAAGCGCCAGCAAUCUGUCUGUGGCAAUAAAUGAAAUUCAGGUGACAAAAUCAAAUACAAUUUCUUUCUUCAGAAUCGUAAGAUGAUAUGAUGGGUGCAGCAUGGUGGAGUCACUGUAACGUGCUACAAACUUAAAAGAUGAUGUGGGUGGCUUUGUUCAGGUCAUGCACUACUGAAAAAUAAAUACCAAUAAGCUUGUUUUCACCAGGUCUGAUCAGAUUUUAGAUUUCCAGCCGAAUCGCUAUGUAUACAUUGCUACCAAGGCUGACUCCAAACGUUAACACAAUGUAGCUAAAGUGAAAUCUGGCUGUGGGACAGAAUGGGAUGAAUUUGGAAACAGAUUGUAACUCACCUCUCCCCAUUCCUGCCCCCUCCCUUUUCAUUAACUGUUGCCCUUAUUUAUGCAGACAGGCAUCUUUCCCAAAGAAGCAGCAAAGUGAUAGCUUGCAGAAAAAUCAGUCUUGUGCUCUUUGAAUAUUUAUGCUUUUCUUAUGUAGUCUCUUAUAUCUGUAGUUUAGUGACUUUGGCCAGAUGCAUAAGUAGGACUACAUCUGUGUGUAGGAUUGUGCACAGCUGGAACCCUGCCAAGUAAAUAGGCAGGCAAAGGAGCCCCUCUCACUGAAACGCAGGAGGGGGCCGGGGGAGCUUGUGCUCAAACCCCUUGAUGUGAUGUGGGGCACCAGAUGACAGGGAGGAGGAGGAGCAGAGGAAGAGCUCACUCCCCAAAUAUGUGUCUUAUGAGCCAUGUGUUGGCUCCUGAAUGGUUUGGCUCAAAACCCUCAAAUAUGUGCAAUAUCAGCCCUAAAACCUUCCCAGGGCAGUGAUACGUGGGGGCUGGAUGGCUGGGUACUCCUGGCUGGCUGCACCACACUGCUUCCUGGGGUCUACUGCUGUCCCUGGUGUCACUCUGGUCACUUCAGCUACCUCUGUUCAGGACAAUCCAUUUUUUAGUUCGUACUCAGAACAAAUCCAGUGUUUCAGGCCUCACAGGGAUAAGGUACAGCUGACAGCAAGCUGCUGUCACCAGAGCAAUUAACUAAAAUUAAUUAAAUUAAUACAGAGCAAUUAGUGUUGCCACCUUGCUGAAGCCUCCUGUUGCGUGACCUGUCCAUGGCUGGGAUGUCCCCCACUUCCCUUGGGAAAAUAAUGCCUGGGAGCACAUUUCCCCUGCCAGAGUGACCUGAACUGAUGUGCUUGGUAAAGCAGAUGUAGGGAAGGAUGUCCUAUAGUCCCUGGGGUUAUUGGUGGGUGAAAAAUUGGACAGGAGCUGGCAAUGUGCACUUGCAGCCCAGAAAGCCAACUGUAUCCUGGGCUGCAUCAAAAGCAGUGUGGCCAGCAGGUCAAGGGAGGUGAUUCUGCCCCUCUGCUCCGCUCUGGUGAGACCCCACCUGCAGUGCUGCAUCCAGCUCUGGAGCCCUCGGCACAGGAAGAACACGGAACUGUUGGAGCGGGUCCAGAGGAGGGACACAAAAAUGAUCCGAAGGCUGGAGCACCGCUCCUAUGAGGACAGGCUGAGAGAGUUGGGGUUGAGAGAGUUGAGAGAGUUGAGAAGAGAAGGCUGUGGGGCGACCUUAUUGCAGCCUUCUGGUACUUAAAGGGAGCUUAUAAGAAAGACAGAGAAAGUCUUUACCAGGGCCUAUAGUGACAGGACAAGGGGUCAUGGUUUUAAACUGAAAGAGGUUUAGAUUGGACAUAAGGAAAAACCUUUUUAUGGUGAGGGCAGUGAGACACUGGAACAGGUGUCCAGAGAAGUUGUGGAUGUCCCAUCACUGGAAGUGUUCAAAGUCAGAUUGGACGGGGCUUUGAGCAAUCCAAUCUAGUGAAAGAUGUCCCUGCCCAAGGCAAGGAGGAUUGGUCUAGAUGACCUUUAAAUGUCCCUUCCAACCCAAACCAUUCUAUGAAUCUAAGAUGGGAGAUAAAAAACACUACUAUGUAAAAUGCAGCCCCCCAGCAGCCUGGUGAGGCAGGGGCUUGUUUUGCAGAGGUAGGAAGGGGCUGAUGGCUUGCUCAGGGCUUGGGCUGGCUGUGUCACACCCUCCAGGCUGGCAGGUAUGGCUGCUGAGUGAGAUCUGCCCCAUGAUGAAACGGCAAGUGGACCUCAGUGACCAUAAGCAUGUGGUGCCUGUUUGUGUUGCAGCUGGACUUCCUGCCCUGCCUGCAGGCCAGUUGCUGCCAUCUGCACUUGUUAGUCUGAAGUGUUUCUACAGCAUUCCCCACAGGAAGAAAACAUGCAAAAGCUUUCCUAGAAAAGGAAGGGAGGGAGAUCAAAGAGCAAGGGAUGAAACUCACUCUGGCUGGCCAGUUCAGCCCUGCAGUGGAGACCUGCCCUGAAAAAGGAAUGAGGUAAUAUAACCAGCUAAACCCAACCAACUAAGGUUGUGAAGUUCUAUGUUCAGGCUGCAACUUUGAUUUUCAAAUGUUUGUUGGGGCGCUUGGGGAGAAGGGGAGUGAAGAGAGAUGCUAGAGCUGCAGCUGCCUGGCUCUCAGAAGACAACACUGAUUUAAGCAUUUUCCGUCUUCAGUGCAGAUUGUUUGUAUUUUCCCUAACAUGACCGUAUUAUAUAUACAAGGAUAUACACUGUAUUUUAAGGACACAUAUCUCUGAGGAGGAUUAAAAAGGCAUUUACUUAACAAAUCGUGCCUGUUUCUCAAGUAAAUCUCUGAUCUAAGGCAAGGAACCAUACAUAUUUAGACUUGGAAGUUGUUUCUGUGUAUGAUUAACACAGAUUUCUAAUGUAUAUGGUAUUGCUUCUCCUGCUAGCCACAACUUGCUUCAUAACUUACAAGGGAAAUUUCAGUGCUGUCUAUUGAACUGUGACGGAGACAAAGGGAAUUUUAGAGGACAAAUGAAGGAUGCUCUUGAAAACCAGGGAUGUUAAUUGGUACUCUGCUUUGUAUUGAUCUCACUCGUCUGCUUCUGAAUUUGACUGAGGUUCUGCAACCCCAACGCAGGCAGAUUGCCAUUAAAGAGUUUUUGUCUGCAUUAACCCAGCAGUAUUAAACCCUCUGUGGUUCUGGUAUCCACCUUCCUUUUCUUUUCCUUUUCCCACCAGAGAUGCCCAUCUAGCAGAUUUUCUGUAACCCCAUACCCUGCCCUAAAAUCACAGGAAUUUGCACAUCCAACUGGUCUAUUAAAAAUUGUCCGGCAGUCCCUGAAAAAAACACCCAUAUGGCUUGCAAAGCAUUGCUUAGUCUUUUUGCACUCUUAUGUUUCAUUCUGUGGAAUUGCUGAUAGUGUGGUAGCUUCAAGUUUCUCCACAUUAAUUGCAAUGAUAUUUUUCAGUCUUUUCCUGCCAAGGAAGCUGCUGGCUUUCGAUCAGAAAUCACAUGUGUGCUAGAGAGAAGAAGUGGAUUGCUGUCAGGUGGCUCCUGUCUGUUUUGCCAUGGAGGGAAGGGUGAGGUACAUGACACAGGGCUUCUGUGACUGGGGAAAAUAUCUAAGAUACACAAGGUAUAUGAAAGUAAGUGGUAAAUAGGGGCUGAAAACCCCGAUAACCAAACCCAGGGGCCCCUGUUUAUAUAAUAUUGGACUUGAAUCAAGCAGACAUUGUUUCUAUUCCUGGACUCAGUGCUGAGCUGAGACUACCGUAGAUUGCCCACCCACCUGCGCCUCAGUGUCCCCAUGUGUGAAUGGGAGAUAAAGAUGCCAGACUCCUUUAUAAAAUGCUUUGGGACCUGCUGAUGAAAAGCAGUCAGCAUUAUGUGAACAUGAAAUGCCUUGUUUGCCAUGAUGUGGUAUCUUAUACAUUAAAAAUUGUAUCUGCGGAGUGAAAAGGCACUAAUAUAUAUGUAAUAAAUAGGUGAAGAACCAGUCAGAGAUAAGCAAAGAAGAACAUAGCUCCCACUAGCUUGGCUGAAAAGAAGCAUCACAUGCAGCCUGUUGGAGCACAGCCUGCACACCAGAUGAAUUACGGAUACAGAGAUGUGCGGAGGGGCCAUUCAACAGGGACAGCCAAGCCUUUCUGCAGAUGGAGGAAGACCCAUGCUGAGGGUUGUCACGUCUUUCCCUAGGAGAUUUUGGGUACAAAGAUGCCCACAUGUGCAACGUAAUGCCUCCUCAGUAGCCCCCAGGUUUCUGGAAAGCCAGGAGUGUAUUGUGCAAGUGUUGUGCAGAUGGUGUUCAUCUGCUGAGUGCACACAGUGCCACCAGCAAGCAUUGGACCUAUGGCACAGCCAUGCAGCGAUUCUGUGCCCACACAUGGGAAGGGCUGCGCUUAUCAAGCACACAGUACAUGUCUGGACAGCUCGUGCACUCCAGGGAGGCCCAAAAUUCCCAGAUAUAGCUGCCAUGCAGAAACACCAACUGGUCUGCCAGAUGACCUGGCAAGACGGUCCUGGAUAAAGGCAAAAGCCUCCCUCAAAUGCUGAUUUGGCAUGGCAUCCAUACAAAGGCAGCAGGAGACAUCCAGGGACCAUAUCUGUGCCCCAGCCAGGACUGCUUUUCUCCUCCUGCACUUAUUUGGUUGUUGGUACCCUCUGGGUACCUCCACCCAUGUGGAAAACACACUGUUUCGAGCUUCACAGCCAGGUGAAAGACUGAUGGGGUUUUGCUUCAUGGCUAAACAUCUGCCAGGGGAUUUGAGAGAUUUCUGGGUUUGUGAGCUUUUCCUCAGUUGGGAGGGCUGAAAGGUUGCCACGUUGGGGCUCACAGUUUCCCACAGGGGUACAAUGCAGCCGUUGCACAGCCCUCGUGCUGCCACCAGCACACCACUGCCUGACCUGUUCUUGAAGGGGCCUGAACCCUGGUCCUCUCUUUGCCUCUCAGUAACCUCGGCUGUUGCAAAGAGCUGGGUUUUUAUUUCAGUGGGAAGGGAGGAGAGCGGUCACCAGGCGCGAGGUUGUCUCCAGCUCCUUUGCUCUUCCCCACACGCAGGUGUUGAGGGGAGCUCAUUGCAGAUCAAAGGAAGAGGAAUACUUCAGGGAGGGGAGGUUACCAAAAUGCCCUGCAGUCCAGCUCACUGGCAACAAAUCACUUCUUUCCUGGGGGAUUUGCAGGGAGCCCAGCUUUCUUUGAAAGGGAGGUUUGACAGGACUUGUGUGAUGGAUAGUGUGAAAAGUUUCCAGUGAGCAAUUAAAAAGAGGCAGGGGUGGGGGGCGAAGAAGGACACUCUUAGCAUUUUUCCGUGACUAUUUGGGUAACUGGAAGAGCUACUUGUGAAACUUUGAAGCAACAGUGAAUUCUUGGAGGGAGAGAAGAUGCCCCAAACACUACAUUUCUGACAAAACCUGAGUUUUUCUCCCUGCAAACAUAAAGUGAGCAAAUGCCAGACCAGUCAUGCAAGUAACAGUUCAGUGCUUGUUUUAUGCCACCUCUUUUGGUGACCUAUUGUAAACAGAAUUUUUUUUCAAGUUCCUUACUUCCCCUGUCUUACUUGACAUUUCUUUUGAACUUCAUCUUCCUUUUCUAAGGCAGCAAAUUCUGCUUCUCUCUUCUCUCUAUCUCUCCCCUUCCCUUGCAUUUUCUGUGAAGAGCACAGACAUUUCCUCCACAUAUUGAUCCUGAGACACUAAUUUCUGUUUUGUCUCAGGUAAUUCAGCAGGCUUGGAUAAUUAAAAGGUAAUGACUGUAUCUCUUCUCCUAUUCAGAGAUUUUUCUAUACCAGUAUAUUGGGCACAGCAAAGCUCUCCCAACCUUGAAGAUGAACCGAGUGUCAAAAAAUUUAUCCAUUUGAAUGAGGCUUUUAGAACUCAGUUGAAGGACUGCUAAACAGUUACAGGCACAGAAACUGGCAAGAUCACAUUUUGCCAUGCAAGCUGCAGUUUGAUCAAUGUGGCAGUUAUUUGACAGGAAAUUAGGAGAGAGUUUUGAGAGUCAUGAGAGGAAAUUAGGCCAUCUUAUGCUUUUAAAACUCUUUAAAACUCAGUGGUAAUCCUCCUCCCCUGGAGGUUUACGAGCAUGCAGGCAACUUCUGUAUUUAAUCAAGAAAUCGAGCACAGCACAAAGGCUGAAAAUGUUUUCCAGGGGCAGUGGGACAGACCAGAAAUCUUAGUUUCUGGAAAUCUUGACCUCAGCAUCUUGGUUUGCAUACUCCAAAUACUCAGUCAUGUAUCUUGCUUUAUCCAGUGCUGAGGUCUAAUUUAGAAGCACUCUACAGCAUCAAGUGCUGAACCUGGCCUGACUGGCACCUCUGGAAGUUUCCUGGACCUCAUAGGAAUCUCUCAGUAGGUUGGACUGUCUAUCCAGAAUGAAUCUUGGUUCUCUCCAGCAGAAGAAACUAGCCAAUGUGUCUGAACUACGUGGAAAAGAAGGUCCCAUGGAAUGAAUCAUCUAUAUCCCCUGGUGGAAGCAGGGUGGUUCCAAUCAAUGCAUUACAAAAAACCAAGGGAAACCUCUUUCCUGUGAACGAUCAACAUAAGCCGGCUGUGCAACAAGUCUAAUUCAAGAGGAGUAAACUUGGAGUCAGUCAGCAGUGUUGAGGAUGCCUUGGAAGCUUCUUGGUGUUAAUGAAGGUUUCACUGGGAUUUUAAGACUUUAAAAUUGUGCUUUUCUGCCAGACGUGGGAAUGCAAAAUUAUUGCAGAUGCAAUAACUAUAGCCCAGUGGAGAGGUUUUGGGCUGGAACACAGAAGAUCUGGUUUCUGUUUUGGGAUGUGCUGAUUGUGACAUGGGAAAAUACUCUGUGCUAGAUUUAGGACAGUUUAAUAUUUUUGGCAGUCACAAAACCCAGUUUUAUCCUUCUGUGCUCUCAACCUUUCCACACACUUAGCUUUCCAAUGGUUGAGUCCCCAGGGCCAAAGCUUUUUAACCUCCAGUCUGGAAACUACUAACUGUAAAAUAACAGAAGGUGAUCUGUGGAAGCACCGUGAUUUAAAAACAAAAUGAAAUUAUUACCAAUGACAGCAUGAACAGACAGAAUGGGGACAAUACAAGUACAGAACAUCCCUAACUGUAUUUGGUUGCAAAUAAAAGCUACUGUGGUGACUCCACAAAAUAGCCUUUUGAUUUGUUUCCCAAAAGAUGUAAGUUGCUCUGGGUAUGAGAAGCAUCACUUUCAAUGAAUGGCUUUUUGCUGCUGUCUGUGCAGACAAAGAUACACACCUCGACAAGGUGUCUCAUGUUUAAAUGCCAUCAUGGUGCCCAAACUGGUGCUUCCCAACCUGUUCAGCAUCUGGAGUCAAAGUUUAUCUCACGUACCCCCCCAGCAAAUCUGGAGGUGACUGGUAUUUUCCCUCUUAUGCAUGAACUCUGCAGUUACGGCCGUAGUUCAAGCUGUAGAAGAAUCAAAUUCAACCCUCCCAUCUGCCCUGAGGGAAUGUGAAAUCUUAUACCCCACCUUUUGGGAGGUUGUUCUUCCAUUCAGGUCCCUGGCAGCUCUCAGCCUCUCCCUCCCAGUGGAGCACUCCUGCUCCCUAUGGAGUAUUUCCAUGUUGCCUAAGCCAGCUAUGACCUUGCAGCUCACAUGAGAGAGCGCUUGAUUGUGAGGAGGAUGGGAGACCCGAGGUCCAGUCUUUGCUCAAAUUAAAAGCUCAGUGUUUUAGUCAGAUGUUUGCUAACAAGGAUUUAAAAAAGGGCAGAGCACUGAAAUGGGGAGCCAAGGCCGUAAGUUAACUCCUGGAAUAACUGCUUAUUGAAGUGAUGACCAAGCUUUUUUCACUUGGAGCCUUUAUUGCAAGUGGGGAAAAUGUAUUUCCUUUAUUUCAGUUUCUUCAUUUUAGCUUGGUCAACUUGUUCAUUAGAAAUAAGAAAUUAAUUACAAGUUAAAAAAACUGGAAAUUUCUUUUUCCUAGCCACCAGCCUAUGAAUAAGCUGAGACACCAGGGCUGAGAUCUACUUGUUCUAGGCUGUUUAAGCACUGGUUAAGAGUUAUUUAAUGAACAUGAUUUUUCUUUGCUUAAUAAUUCAGUUAACUUUAAACACAAAAUGUGUUUUGACACCUUCUUCUCUCACAUCUAAAUAACUUAAUGUGACUUUAUUUGAUAAUGAAAACCAGUACUGUCUUUUUGUAUGUUAUUUAUUGUAGCCUAAUUUCUACCCAAAGGCACUUCAGCAUAUCUCCAAAGAAAAAAAUUGAAUUACCUAGUAAGUACAAAAUCUAAUUUGCCAUUUUCCUGAUAUAAUAAAAAGUAAAAAUUAAGCAUUUGAAUAAAAACUUCAGUUUAAGUAUUUGAAUGUAUACAUAUCAUAAUCUAAGUUAGCAAAACAAGGAAGUAUGAAAUACAGCAAAAGGCUUCAGGUGCUAUGGAAGAAAUCUCAGUGGUUACCAACUACUACGCAUCAACUUUCUUUGGAAAAAUGAUUAAAUACAAAUGUAUUUAAAUAAAAAUGUAAAAUUAAACCCCCAAUAACUUUAACCAAGGUCACUUGCUUUCUCCUUCAAGUGACAAUUAAAAUAAAUUGUUUAAAUCCCACGCAUAUGAACCGCUCCACCCAGCUCAUUUUUCACAACAGGAGGUAGCAAGUUUUCUGUGCCUCUGUGGUCACGAGAGAGAGGAGGAGGGAGGCACACUGCUAACCCUGUCGCUGCCGGCUGCCGUUUCAGUUCACCUCUGCUCACUCCCAGCCCUCCCUCACAAAGGGCUUCCAGCAAAUGUACUUUUUGCCUCAUGUUUCUCUGUACUGCCUUUCUGAGGAGCAAGGCACUUGUGUUUUCUGCCUGGCCUUUCCCCUCUCCAAACACCCAUCUCUCUACCCUUGUCUUGUCCCAUUUAUGUCCCCCACAGAUCUCUCGUGGUGGAGGAUACCUCUGAAACCAUCAGGUGUGACCAGAAACUCUUGGAAGAGCCCAAGAUUUCCAUGGUGCAACAAGUCACAACACAUGAGGCUUUUAGGGCAUGCAGGGAAAUGGGAACUACUGCAUCUGAAGGGAGAGAACCAGAGAGCUGCAGUUUGGCAUCCUGGAAAGUCAGGAGAUGAAAAGCGAAGCAGCCUUGAUGCAUCAGUUCAGCCCAGGGAAAGAGAUGCUAUUUACUAUGGUGCUUGUUACUCAUCUGCUCCCGCCCUCCUUUCUGUCUGACUCUCAGAGUUGUUCCAGCAUUACAUGUCCCACCCACAUUUUGUACUAAACCAGUCCAGUCCAACCUCCCUGGAUGCCUGUGGGAGAGUUUCAAAAUCCCACCACACCACUCACUGCAAUUAUACCUUAUUCCAGGAAUAGGAAGGACUUGAUCUCCAUGGCAUUUCCAAGGGCAGCCCAGUCCUUCUGCUGGGAUGCUGCUGUGUGUGCAGGUUAUCAAAUUCCCUGAUCCCAGCUGUUGCCUCUGAAUUAUUCUGAGACUCUUUAGCAUUGCUUUUGGGUUGUUUUUUGGUUGUUUGGUUGUUUUUGGUUUUUUUUUCAAAAUAAACAUGCUGAAUGCAGCAUGCUUGUAACCCUCAAUAUUCAGAUCAAAUAUCACUGCCUGGGGGAUAAAGAGAAAUAGGAGAUGACAUUGGGGGCUGAUAAAAUUUGUUAGCAACUGCUUAGCUUUACUACAAGUCUGAUGUGGGGGAAUGGACUCAAGGCAGGUUUGUCUGCCUUGAAUGAAAGGCAUAAUGGCAGGUUUGCAAAGCCUUGUGACUGUGCUUAUUUGCAGAGUUUAACGCAUAGAAGAGCAGGAUUUGCAUCCACAUGAGACUGCUUUGAAUCUAGGCUUAGGGCGUUUGGUGUGGGAAGAGUUAAUAUUUCCUCCUCCUUAAUUGUCAUGAAAAUGAGUCACAGUUUAAUUCUGGGCCAUUUUCUAUGCCAGAUGAAUGGCACAGAGAUUCUUUGCUCAGAGAUCUGAAAGGACAAAAACAAGGUGAAGAUGAGAACAUCACAUUCCAACACUCAAAUCACAGAGCUUCUUCUUCCCUUGACUGGGACCUGAAAUUCCUGCAGUUUUUCAAGUGUGAAAUGAAUGAAAGAAAAUGCAAGCAUCUCUCAUUUCAAGAUGUGCAUGAUUUCAUGGCAAGCGCUUCAUGCUUAUUUUUGACUUGCCUUUGAGCCUUGCCCAAUCACAAUGUUUACUACAUUUAAAACUAUUUCUCUGCGGAAUCAAAUCCGGUUAAGGCUAAAGUCUGAGGGUAAAUGCUCUAACCCUGGAUUUAUAAAAUGGUUUGUAAAUGUGAUUAAAGCCAGCCUAGCUUUUCAUGCUAAAUAAUAGAAAUUAUGCGUCUGACAGAGAUAUUUAGCUGAACGUUGCCAGUGAUUGCAUUGCUGUGUUCAGCACCCUCCUUUGUCUUGUCUCUUGUUAGAACAAUAGGAGCACAGUCAUACAUUUUACAGUGUCCCACAUAGAGUAUAUGUGGGACACAGUCCAAUGUGUACUGCAUUAGAUUUGUGAUUCCAUAAUGCCCUUAAUAAAGCUGCCCUACUUUCUUUGUUGCCAUGCUUUUCUAAUAUUAGAAGUGCUGAGUGCUAUGGCAUAGCCUCAUUAAUAUUAAAAAAAAUAUUCUCCUAUUACUAAGCAAUCCUCAUUCAUCCACUUUUGGUCAUUUGUCCUACCUUGAAAGGUGAUGUGUCCUUAAACAUCGGAAAGGCACGCAUGCAUCUGGAACGCUAUCCUGUGCAUUAUGAGUGAGAUGUGUGGCAACUGGAAGCUCCCUGCUUCAGCCCUCACUCUUAAGAGAAACCAUGAAGUCCUUUCACAGGGGUUUAUUUAAUAAAAGGCAGUUGCUGCACCAGUUCCUAAAAUACUGGCUAUCUGUGUUAUUCCUAAUGAUUAAUGCCUUCAGCCUGAUGAUGAUUUUAUAUAUAUAUAUAUAUAUGUAUAUCUUUGUUGUCUGAGCUGUUAAAAUACUUCUGAAGAAACAUUCUCCUCUUAAAUGAAGUUCUUUUGAAAGAGCGUAUUUUCAUUUCAAGAGGAAGAUUAAGCCUUGCUUAAAUAUUAACAGGAAUCUCUGGUGUGGAAAUUAUCUGUUUAUCUUGAGUUGGGAGUCAGUCUCUAGCUGUUAUGAUUUCAAAGAACAUCUCAAACAUGUAACCUCAUUAAAACCGGUGCCCAGUUGCCUGCCUUGGUUUGCAGAUUUCAUGACAGCGCCGCUCUCUCCUAUUCAUUUUGAUGGUGACGAUUCAGGCCUGGACACCAGGUAUCAUUGACUUUUACCGUGUUCCUUCAGGCACACCAAGGGAGGACCUGUUCUGAAUGCCAGCAGGCAUGGGCAAGUCAGAGGAGGAAGGGGAAGCAAUUAAGCCUGAUUUCAAGAAGGAAGUCUCCAGCUUUGAAAAAGCCAAGAAAAACCUUUGGCUCUUAGGAGGGAGAGAAUUAAAAAAACAUCUGAUUGUUUCUUUGUUAUAAGGAAACCAGUGCUGCAAGUUUCCGAUCCCCUGAAGCACUUGACAGCAUAUCCUCCUUGCCCCGCUGGAUGGGGACCUGGGGGAUCCCAGGGAUGGACUGGCCUUCCUGCUCUGACUGGGAGACGUUACUGCUUUCCUGACAACAAAAAUGCCCACCUUCUUCACUACUGACAUUAUACAGGUUCAGUACUCACCUGGAUUGAGAAAGAACCUCCAGAAAGAACCAAAAAAUAAUGGUUUUACUAUUACGGAUAGAGGAGAAUUUGCAAAAAGCCAGUAGCCUAGAAACUGGACUGGACUGAAUUUACCCAUCGUGCAAAUAAAGAACACAUGGCUGACCAUUAUUGAUUUAAUGAAGCAAGGUCACAGAGCAGGUAUUGCAAGCCAGACUUCAACAUGAUCGCAUCAGUACAGUUGGCAAAUCUAAAGCCUGAGAUUUAACAGCGUUACAGUCCUAAAGAGCAUGAUUUUAAAGGAGCAAUGGCUGUGCAGAAGCACACUAAUGCCUGAAAGUGACCGGCAAUAACCCUGUUUGUGCUACUGGCGUAGACCUAACUAAUGCUCUUUUUCUCAUUUGGUUUUUUUUUUUUCCCCCUCAAUGCAUAGAAAAGGAAGACUUGCUGACUUGCAUUUAUUUGUUCAGAUUUAAAAUAAUCACAGUACCAAUCCAGAGCUCCAAAUGCAUGUGCCAUAAUUUCAAAAUCAAAGUGGAAGCAAAUGAGGAAGGCUGCCUAUGAUCAUAGGAUCAUACUUCAGGCUGACAGGGACCUCAGUAAGUAAUGCAGUAAAUACCACUCAGUAGUGCCUCUCAGGGAAAAAGAAGGGUGGCAUUUUAAUGUGCCCAGGAAGCUAACAAAUCUGGUUUCGGACAGAUCAUAGGAAAAGUGCAAGUCUCUACAUUAGAAGGGAACGCUCUCCAGAAGCAGUUAGCUGGGUUCAUCUAUUCCCAGGAAACAGAUACUCCUGGGACUCGGUAUCUUCUUACUGCACACAGGACAUGGCCUUGUCGCAACUGGUAGGCAGAAAUUCCUGCUUACCCUGCCUGAAUCACUGAGCCUUUGUCAAACAGCAGCAGGUUUUCCGUUGUGAAAUGUAAUUGAUUCGCAGUAUCCUGGAAGGCUGUGCAAAUCUGCAGUAUUUCACAUAUCUGACAUUUAAAAAUUAUUCAUGCAAUAGAUAUAUUUUCCUUUAAAACCUAUUCCAUACCUGCCUCUGUUAGGGCUUCUUGCAAGUUAUGUUGAAGCCCCAGCUGCUUUCAGAGAGAGGACACUUGAGGAGGGGGGUGACUGGCUCCAGCACGGAGCAGUCUUGUGCUACAUUCCCAUGUAAAAGGGGGUUUCUACAAACUGAACCCUUUCAAAACCUACGCUGUAUGAGCAGACUUAGAAGUCUGGAAAUCACAUGUGCUCGCUUUCAUGCACUCCUGCAUGACUAAUAAAGUGAUGAUUCUCUGUUAUUUUCAUCUUAAAGUAACAUCUCAGCUGCCCUACAAGCCAUGUGCAAUGUUCUAUUGCUAAAAUAAUAAUCACUUCGGCAGUGCAUUACAGCUAUUUGCACAGCACUUAACAAGGGCGAUAUGACACAAACUACUGCUUAGGCUCAAAACCGUUUUUCAGAAUUAAGAAUUUCUCUAUGACUCAUGCAUUCUUUUUUUUUUUCCCCUCAGCAUAGUACCAAUAUGAGAAUCCCCUUCUCCAUGGGUCUACUUACAUAUUUCAGCAACCAUGGAUUUGCUAAGGUGGCUUAGUAAGCUCUAGCUACUUCUGCCCAGUCCAUUGCAUUUGUCAAGGGUCUUUGGAGGCCUGGCAGGAGCCCAGGCAGAGCAGAAAAUGGCCAAGGCACAGGUACAGAAAGCUAAAUUUAUUGUGGUCAGGAAUCCUGCCUCCUGUGCAGAUCCAACACCUGCUGUUGUGUUCCAGGUAUGUCUCAGGUGUGUCUGAUUUGCUGAAGGCAUGUCAGGGAUUUCAUCUGCAGGUGCGUAGCGUGCAACACAUCUGUUGAUUCAGUGCUGGCAUGUGUGCUGCCUGGUGCAUACACCCAUGUUUUGGUCAGGAGAGAAUGACUGAUGAAGCUUUAAGCACAUAUUACACCUUCAUAGGGCAUGGUUGUACCCAUGCAGAUAUGCACUCAUUCCUUCCUUUCAUUAAGGGAUUCCAUGUCCAUGUUUGCUAACAGGUUAUCUACCUGCUUUCUCACCUUAUUGAACUGCGACUGACAGGAGCUUAGGAAAGCCAGCUAGCCCAAAAUUGUGUCUACCAGAUGAGUGCCCCAUUUCAGGUGCCUACUUGCUCUCAAGCACCCCAGAAAUGCAGAUCCAACAGAGGACAUGGUGCUUUUUUUAUCUGAGCCCCAUUUCUCCACUUGUGAUGUGGGAAUACAUACACUUGUCUUCCUUUGUAGGAUGUCCAUAUUGUCAGAGAGUGGAAACUGUACUUAUUUAGGUCCUUCUCCAUGCCUUAGUAAAGAGAGCACCAACGCCUUCAGAAGUAUCUUGUUAGUGAUGUACUUUCUUAAAGCCUCACUGGCUUCCUUUCAGUCCAUCCACUCUUGGCAUACACAUCUUCUAAAGAAAGGGUCUGGAAACUGGGAAAGAAUAAACCCAGAAAAUGUGCUGAACAGGCUCAGAGAGUCCAGGUACAGGCAUAAUUCCUAUUGACCAGAACGGAGAACGGCAAAAUGUAUUAUGAACCCUUUGCUAGCACACGUGGUCUACUACUCGCUGUUGCACUUCGGACCCUUUAAUACCACAAACAUUAAAGCAGUUCCUGCCUUUAGAUCCCAGAGCAAGAACUUCUGUGGGUUGUCUCAGUGGAAAUGCACUCAAAGAGACACUAAAAUGAAGCGUAUGGCUCUCUUCAAGAACAAAUUCCUGCCGGCCUGAGAAACUGCCAAUUGUGUGGCAUCAGAUGUAGAAAAGGACUUGAGCAACUCAGCUCACACAUCCAUUCUUGUGCUGCAUACUAAAGCUGUGGAUGAGUCAGUACAGCUGAGUGGGAGAACCAGACAGGUCUGAAUCACCACUUUUUUCUUGACUGUGAAGCAUUAUUAUUUCCAUGCAAAUAAUUUCAAAUCUCAAAGCCAUAGAAGAAGCCCAGUAGCAGUGAUCGCAAACCUCAUACCCCAGGAGGAGCCAACUGGUUAAUGAGAAUUCACAGCCACUUCAUGUUUGAAGACACUGAUUUAUGUAAAAGGAAAUUAACUGAUUAAUCUUAAAAUCCUGGAACUUGAGAAGUACUUGGAGGGACAGUAAGCUCUGUUUCAGGAUUUUGCUGAAGCUAUGUAUUAUUCAGCUCUUUCCAUCGUUAUUCAGACUGAUAUAUGAGAGGUUUGAGAAAUGCAGCUGUGGAGUCUGACAGGAUAAAUGUUUAAAAAGUCUGAAAAAGAACAGGUUUUCUUUUAAGUACAGAGAAGUAAGAAAGAGACAGUGUGGGAUCCUGGUACUCUAUCAGGCAGAUCUUCAUCUUUUGGUUGCGUUCAGCAGGCUUUAGAUAGAAACCUCUGCAGUAUGUGGGAAGACACCUUCACACAUUUGGAAAAUAGAUUGAGGACUUCUAUCUGCUAAGUGUUAUCUGUAUCUGGAUAAGUGUUAUCUGUGACCUUUCUGUGUUUUACUUAUGCCAACAGAUAACAAGCAUUUGCACGUUGUGUAAGCUUGAUUGAUUCUUUCAUACCUGUUAUACAUCCUUUUAUGUCUAGCACUUUCAACUUACUAGCUGCUUUAAUAAUAAUAAAACUAAAUACCAAGCUAAAUAAAAAAUAAAUGAAAAUAAUAAAAAAAGUUUAAAAAUCAAGGAUUUUUUACUUUUAUAAUCUCAACAUUUAUUUAAGAAGAAACCAAUAUAGUUCUACAGAAAGAACUUCAUACAACAUAUGAAAUCCAACCGAGAAGACAGUUUCAAAUCUCUGCAAACAACUCUAUCAGAAUUCUCUAGAAGAGCUAUUAGGUUGUGAGUUCUCAGAUAAAGUCGGUGAUGUACCUAUAUGUACCUUGUAUGGUAUGAUGGCCCGGAGCUGCAAAACUCAACUGAAAUGUGUAAAAGGAAUAGAAUUGUGAGUGCAACACUUUUACUAGUUUUUUGCUGGUUGCUUUCAUUUACAGAAUUUAGAAACAGAAAAAGGAUGUAUGAGCCUAUUAUGUUUUUUCCUACGUGCAACUUUAUGCUAAUUACUUAUUUCAGGCUAAGAAAAACAUCAAGAAAGAACAAAAUUAUUGUCUCUGUCAGAGAAAUCUGUGAGAGUGUGUGCGUGUGUCUUCCUUGAAGGAAGGUUUGGCAACCUUAAGAACAAAACGCAAGCUCUCUUGACAAGGCUGGCAAGCUUAGAAGUGGGAAGAUGUAAUAUACAGAACACAGGAGGCUUCGUAGCUCAAUACACACAGCCCGGGGAACCUUGGUCCCAGUUAGACACGUCUUCAAAGCAAAGCGCUCUGCUGCUGCCUUAACCUUUUUU